AUACGUAGGUCCCGAACGUUGCGCGAAAUUACUGGGCGUAAAGGGUCCGUAGGCGGUCUGGUAAGUGGAAGGUGAAAGCCUGGGGCUCAACUCCAGAAUUGCCUUCCAAACUGCCGGACUUGAGGCAGGGAGAGGUCGGCGGAAUUCCCGGUGUAGCGGUGAAAUGCGUAGAUACCUGGAGGAACACCAGUGGCGAAGGCGGCCGACUGGAACUGUCCUGACGCUGAGGGACGAAAGCCAGGGGAGCGAACCGGAUUAGAAACCCUAGUAGUCC
rnacentral:rRNA from 1 species